rnacentral:rRNA from 1 species
AAUGAACGUUGGCGGCAUGGAUUGGGCAUGCAAGUCGAGCGGGCGUAGCAAUAUGUCAGCGGCGUAAGGGACAGGAACACGUAGAUUACCUGCCCUCGGGUCUGGGAUAGCCACGGGAAACUGUGGGUAAUACCAGAUGAUAUCUCCGGAUCAAAGGUGUGAUUCCGCCCGAGGAUGGGUCUGCGUCCUAUUAGCUAGUUGGUGAGGUAAUGGCUCACCAAGGCGAUGAUGGGUAGCAGGUGUGAGAGCACGACCUGCGUCAUCGGGACUGAGACACUGCCCAGACACCUACGGGUGGCUGCAGUCGAGAAUUUUUGGCAAUGGGCGAAAGCCUGACCAAGCGAUGCCGCGUGCGGGAUGAAGGCCUUCGGGUUGUAAACCGCUGUCAGUGGGGAGGAAAGCUUUGUGAAGAGCAAGGCUUGACCUAUCCGCAGAGGAAGUGUGGGCUAAGUUCGUGCCAGCCGCCGCGGUAA